GCCGACCUUCUUGUUUUUAAAUCAUCCGCGUUGCUUUCCCUCUCCUCUCAAUCCCUUUUCUCCAACAAACGACAUGGGCAAAAAGAAACCCAAGGAACUAGACGCAGCCUGCGUUUCGCAAAACGACACCGUUCCUGCUUCCUCUGACAUUUUCAAGAGCCUUUUCGGCGAUGUUGAGCAAAACGAAGCCGCUUCCUCCAUCUUCUCCGAUAGGAAUCCGUUCAAGAGAAAACCCCAAGAGUCGAGCUCUGGAUUAGGUAAUGUCAAAUUCAAUGAAAGCCCUAAACUUAGUGAUGCUAAAGAUUCCAAUCUUGAUUUGGUGAAGAGAAGGCGAAACGAAGAGAAAAAGCACAAUCUUGAUGAAGUUUCAAUUGAAGGAGAAGCCAUAGGGACUCCUUUGGUUGCCAGGAAAAUGAAGAAACUAAAAAUCCAAAACUCUGGUUUCAUUUCUGAGGUGUCAGAAGGAAACCCCAAUAUGGGUUCUGGUUCUCGUCCAGAAAACGGGAACAAAAACUCUAGCUUGGUGGUUGAGCCAAAAGCAGAGAUAACCCAUAAUGAGAAGAGCAACAAGCGAAAGAAGAGAAAGAGAGAUGAGUUGGAGAGAGAGUACGAGACCCAAAAGUAUGGCCCGAAGCCCGAAGAUGAUGCAAAUGUAGUUAUUGUUGGAGAGAAGAGGAAAAAGGUGGAUAAUGAAGCGGAUUUGUUAGUUUCAAAGGAUGGAGAGGAAUUUGAUGAUGAGAGUAAGCUCUUGAGGACGGUGUUUGUGGGUAACUUGCCUCUGAAGACGAAGAAGAAGGCGCUAAUGAAGGAGUUUGGCCAGUAUGGGGACAUUGAGUCUGUGAGGAUCCGGUCUGUACCCAUUGUAGAUACCAAGAUACCGAAAAAGGGGGCCAUUAUACUGAACAAAAUCAAUGAUUCUGCUGACAGUGUCCAUGCUUACGUUGUUUUCAAAGCACAGGAAUCUGCAGAGGCUUCUCUGGCCCAUAAUAUGGCUUUGGUUGGAGGACAUCACAUUCGUGUUGACAGGGCAUGCCCACCUCGUAAGAAAUUAAAGGGUGAGGAUGCUCUGCUUUAUGAUAACAAAAGGACCCUUUUUGUGGGUAACCUCCCAUUUGAUGUGAAGGAUGAAGAAAUUUAUCAGCUUUUUUCUGAUAUCAAAGAUCUUGAGUCUAGUAUUGAAGCUGUUCGGGUUGUUAGGCAUCCUCAUAUUGGUCUGGGGAAAGGUAUCGCAUAUGUAUUGUUUAAAACAAGGGUAAGAAUAAGAUCAAUUUUUUUAUAAUACUUAUUUGGAAAUAGGAUCAUCAAUGUUAAAAUUUUAGAAUUGGCGACAGUAAUAUGUGCUCUUAACUUGGUGAUUAUUGGUGCGUUUUCCUCUUUUCUUUGACAUGACAAUUUAGUUUUAGUUCAAAAACUUAAAGGUAGUGCUGGUCUUAUGCAUCUUGUUGUCUUAUGUUUCAAACAUUCUUUUUCUUUCCUUUUCUUUUUUUUUUUGUAACUUAGAUAAAUCAAAUGCAAAUUCAAACAAAAGUGAACAGAUGUAUAGAAUGAAUGAGGUUGUUCCCAAAAACCAUGUUUACCAGCUCACAUCAAUCAGAUGUUCAGUGGAUCUGCCUCAGUGUCUCUAUCCUUAAGUGCUGUCCAAUCUUCUGUCUUUGGCUUAUCUGCAAUCACCAUAAGCCGUCUUUGCAAGAUAGAUGCCACAAACAGGAAAAUCGAACACAUGCCGAACAUAACAGUGAUAGGGAAUGCAUUGACAUUGUACAAAAUGAUGCAGACAAAGAUAUUGAGAGGAAUGCGGAAGAAGUUCAUAAUGGUGCUUCUAGCCUCCUCUGGAAUGUACUGGGAUCUCAUCUUCAUUAUGGAUGGCCAGAAUAUCCCGACACAAGCCUCAAAGGUACAGAAGCCAAGAAGCUGGAUACAACCUGAAAAUGAGAUGCCUCCACCUUUCACUUUAGAAGGUGCCACUAAGAAAUUGGUUGCAAUGGGAAGCAUAAGAGAGAUAGAGGAGACAACAAAGACAAUCUGCAUGUAGCUUUCUACCCUGGGGGAUGAAUGAGCCAUCAACCGAGAUGCAAGGGAGCUACCCAACAUUGAUGCAAACAUGAAUGUCGCAAAAAUAAAACCAUGAGGAAUAUCCUCAUCAUUUGGGCUCAAAGCAGGUGUCCAAAGGAAAACAAAGGUAUACAUAGAACCUUCAAACAACGACUGAAUGGCACCCAGCAAAGCAAUUUUCUCAUCAGAAGCAAUGGCAACAGCAGCACCCCUGAAUUGGCUAAGCAAGUCCUUGCUUUCUGAAGGGUCUCCAUAAUUCUCGGUCCAUGAUGAUAAAAUAAUGGCCAUUCCAAUUGCAAGAAAGCAUGCAGCAGCAUCAAAGGGGGCCACAGGCCCAAGAGCAAAUGAAUCUACAAGAAGGUUCCCAAACAGUCCAGACAGAAUAGCGACAAGACCAUUGCCUAGAAAUAUUGCCUUCGAGAAAGUUAGAGACAGCCAUUGUUGAUCAAAGCCCCUCUUAUUGUGCUCUGCAACCAGCCAUGACUCAAAUGCUGAAAAUAGGAGAGAAGUGGCAAUGCCUCCCAAAACACGGCCUAUCAUCAAAACUUUGUAUUGAGGGGAAUGCUUGGUAAUACAGCUCAAUAUAUAGGUUAUGCAAUAAGUAAUGCAUGCCCUCUUUCGACCCUGUUUGUCAGCUAAAGAUCCAACAAUUGUACCAAACAACAUGGAGGACCCAAAACCAGCAAUGAAAAGCUGACCGAUCUCUCCUUUACCAAAGCCAUACUGACUGUAAAGGUAGUAUACGUAUGGGCCCUGCAACCAGUCCCCCGCCAUCAUGAGAGAGUAAACGAGAAGGUAAUUGUUCUUGAAGGAAUUGAAAGCAGGUGAAGUGUUGAUUCGGUCUUUAGUUGUCUUGCUCAGCUCUAGUGCUGCCACCAUUGCACCCAGUGCUCCAAAAACCAAAUAGUAAAACACCUCCAUUACUAUCUCUUCCUCUUCGCCUCUCUGAUUCUCUUUUCCACAAUCUCUCCGCGUUUGAUUUG
rnacentral:misc_RNA from 1 species